rnacentral:rRNA from 1 species
GAUGAACGCUGGCGGCGUGCCUAAUACAUGCAAGUCGAGCGAACGGACGAGAAGCUUGCUUCUCUGAUGUUAGCGGCGGACGGGUGAGUAACACGUGGAUAACCUACCUAUAAGACUGGGAUAACUUCGGGAAACCGGAGCUAAUACCGGAUAAUAUUUUGAACCGCAUGAUUCAAAAGUGAAAGACGGUCUUGCUGUCACUUAUAGAUGGGUCCGCGCUGCAUUAGCUAGUUGGUAAGGUAACGGCUUACCAAGGCAACGAUGCAUAGCCGACCUGAGAGGGUGAUCGGCCACACUGGAACUGAGACACGGUCCAGACUCCUACGGGAGGCAGCAGUAGGGAAUCUUCCGCAAUGGGCGAAAGCCUGACGGAGCAACGCCGCGUGAGUGAUGAAGGUCUUCGGAUCGUAAAACUCUGUUAUUAGGGAAGAACAUAUGUGUAAGUAACUGUGCACAUCUUGACGGUACCUAAUCAGAAAGCCACGGCUAACUACGUG